ACGAACGCUGGCGGCAGGCCUCACACAUGCAAGUCGAGCGCCCUUUCGGGGGAGCGGCGGACGGGUGAGUAACGCGUGGGAAUAUGCCCUUCUCUACGGAAUAGCCUCGGGAAACUGAGAGUAAUACCGUAUACGCCCUGUGGGGGAAAGAUUUAUCGGGGAAGGAUUAGCCCGCGUUGGAUUAGGUAGUUGGUGGGGUAAUGGCCUACCAAGCCGACGAUCCAUAGCUGGUUUGAGAGGAUGAUCAGCCACACUGGGACUGAGACACGGCCCAGACUCCUACGGGAGGCAGCAGUGGGGAAUCUUAGACAAUGGGGGCAACCCUGAUCUAGCCAUGCCGCGUGAGUGAUGAAGGCCUUAGGGUUGUAAAGCUCUUUCAGCUGGGAAGAUAAUGACGGUACCAGCAGAAGAAGCCCCGGCUAACUCCGUG
rnacentral:rRNA from 1 species